rnacentral:rRNA from 1 species
GCUUAGCCUUAAACCUAGAUAGUACCACAACCCACUAUCCGCCAGAGAAUUACAAGCGAAAAGCUUAAAACUCAAAGGACUUGACGGUGUCCCACAUCAACCUAGAGGAGCCUGUCCUAUAAUCGAUGACCCACGUUCAACCUUACCUGGUCUUGAAGCCCAUCCAGCCUAUAUACCGCCGUCUCCAGCCUACCUAAUGAUAGAAACAAUAGUAGGCAAAAUUAGCCCCACGCUAAAACGUCAGGUCAAGGUGUAGCAAAUGGCCAGGCAGAGAUGGGCUACAUUUUCUAGUUCUUAGACCACCACCAACGGCAACAUGAAACCUAGGCCCCAAAGGAGGAUUUAGUAGUAAUUUGGACAAGACCCCUCCAACUGAACCCCGCUCUGGGACGAGU